rnacentral:rRNA from 1 species
UGCCUAAUACAUGCAAGUCGAACGAUGAAGGGGCCCUUUUAAGCUUCUAGCUUGCUAGAGUGCUGAUUAGUGGCGCACGGGUGAGUGGCGCAUAGGUCAUGUGCCUCUUAGUUUGGGAUAGCCAUUGGAAAGGAUGAUUACACAGAUACUCCCUACGGGGGAAAGAUUUAUCGCUAAGAGAUCAGCCUAUGUCCUAUCAGCUUGUUGGUAAGGGGAUGGCUUACCUAGGCUAUGACGGGUAUCCGGCCUGAGAGGGUGAACGGACACACUGGAACUGAGACACGGUCCAGACUCCUACGGGAGGCAGCAGUAGGGAAUAUUGCUCAAUGAAACCCUGAAGCAGCAACGCCGCGUGGAGGAUGAAGGUUUAGGGAUUGUAUACUCCGGUUGUUAGAGAAGAUAAUGACGGUAUCUAACGAAUUAGCACCGGCUAACUCCGUGCCAAGCCGCGGUAAUACGGAGGGUGCAAGCGUUACUCGGUAUCACUGGGCGUAUUGAGCGCGUAGGCGGGAUAGUCAGUCAGGUGUGAAAUCCUAUCUUAACCAUAGUACUGCAUUUGAAACUACUAUUACACUGUGGGAGAGGUAGGUGGAAUUCUUGGUGUAGGGGUAAAAUCCGUAGAGAUCGAGAGGAAUACUCAUUGCGAAGGCGACUUGCUGGAACAUUACUGACGCUGAUGCGCGAAAGCGUGGGGAGCUUACAGGAUUAGAUACCAAAAGGGUUCGUACUGUCGUUCGGCACAGGUCCCUCCCUGCGGUUAACAGUCCGUAGGUAGUCCACGCCCUAAACGAUGGAUGCUAUUGCCUCUAGCGGGCGUUCACACUGGGAAAAUUCUGGUCGUCCGGUAACUAGCUUGGAGGGCUUAGUCUCUCCAGUAAUGCAGCUUACGCAUUAUGCAUGGGGCCUGGGGAGUACGGUCGCAAGAUUAAAACUCAGAGGGGUAGACGGGGACCCGCACAAGCGGUGGAGCAUUCGCGUGUGCGUGUGGUUUAAUUCGAAGAUACACGAAGAACCUUACCUAGGCUUGACAUUGAGAGAAUCCGCUAGUUAUAGUGGAGUGUCUAGCUUGCUAGACCUUGAAAACAGGUGCUGCACGGCUGUCAGCUCGUGUCGUGAGAUGUUGGGUUAAGUCCCGCAACGAGCGCAACCCGAAACUUAGUUGCUAACAGGCCAUGCUGAGAACUCUAAAGGAUACUGCCUCCGUAAGGAGGAGGAAGGUGGCCACGACGUCAAGUCAAAUCAUGGCCUUACGCCUAGGGCUACACACGUGCUACAAUGGGGUGCACAAAGAGAAGCAAUACUGUGAAGUGGAGCCAAUCUUCAAAACACCUCUCAGUUCGGAUUGUAGGCUGCAACUCGCCUGCAUGAAGCUGGAAUCGCUAGUUUAAUCGCAAUCAGGCA